CCUCAGGCGGGGGGGGCGGGGCUGAGGAGAAGAGGCCGUCGAGGGGAGCGACGAGCGACAGGCGGUGUGCUGAAAUGCCCAAGAGUCGCUGGACAACUCUGGGGGCGACGGUGAAUGUCUUCCAUGUGGAUUACAGCCCCGGAACCCCGAAGGAAAUGGCCGGAGGAGGAGGUCACCUGAGAAGAAAAGGGGGGGUCACUUGAAGAUCUGUGAAGAGGACUUUGUGUUCUGAUGAGUGAAAAUAUAAAGAAAUGAAAAGAGGUUAGAAAGAUUGAGGAGGAUUUAGAUGGAUUCAUGGAUAAAAAUACCUCAAGCAGUUUAAUGGAGACAGACGUUAGGGAUUCAAAGGAGAGGGCUCACGUCAACUGAAUCUAUUCUCCCAACUUAGCCCAGGUGUUCGUACUGUGGGCGCUCAGAUAAUAUCGACCGAUUAAUUAGGAAUUAAAAAGGAAAUCUCUAACCGUGAGAACGAACGGCAAGGAGGGUAGCCAUCGUAGGAGAUCCCAACCGCCAAUACCAGGCUGAACCCAGCCCCCGGUCUGAGCGUCGUCAACACCGUUAGAGGCGGCCUCCUUUCUCCUUGGAACCCAACCCGCCACCGUAUUGCACGUCGCUGCCGUCUGCUUCAGCCGGUCCCCGCGUCACUCGGCUCGCAGACCAAUUUGGACUUGUGGCUGCUCCUGAGUCUCCCGCCCGCCCUUCUCAUUUCGCGGCACUUUCCAGAAAGCCGACGAGAUUCCGCGGCUUCGAGUCCCUGACCCUGGGCUGCUGGGACCCGACCCUGUUGUGUUCUUAGGAUCUGUAGAUCUUCCUGUUCUUCUGCUCCACGGUCCGUACGUAGUUCGGCCCUAUAAGGCGUGUUGUUUUCCACAAAAGUGAUUUCUGCGGCUGGCUUCCGAAGGGCCUGUUGUAUUUUUCUUUCCCCCUCCCCGAGCCGCCUCUACGUCAUCCAAAGACAUUGCCGUCGACGAAUGGAUGGCAGCAUCCAUCUGACGUGAAAAACGCAGGGAAACUGAAGUGAACACUCAGUCGUUGGUUCAUUCAGCUGUAUUUAUUGAGCGCCGACUGUGUGCAGGGCACUGUGCUAAGCGCUUGGGAGAGGACGGUGUGACAAUAAACGGGCAUAUGCCCAGCCCAUAACAUGCUUGCAGUCGAGAGGGUAGACAGACAUUAAUAGAAAUUGUUUACCGCCACGUACAACCGGGUGUAGUUGUCUCUGCUGUUUGUUGCUGUCGAGAAGCAGCGUGGCCUAGUGGAUAGAGCCCGG